rnacentral:rRNA from 1 species
GAUGAACGCUGGCGGCGCGCCUAACACAUGCAAGUCGAACGGUUGAAGCACCUUUUAGGUGUGUAUAAAGUGGCGAACGGCUGAGUAACACGUGGGCAACCUGCCCUCCUCUUGGGGAUAGCCUCGGGAAACCGAGGAUAAUACCCGAUACUUCAAUGUGGCCGCAUGACGACAUUGAGAAAGCUUUUGCGGAGAAGGAUGGGCCCGCGGCCUGUUAGCUUGUUGGUGGGGUAGAGGCCUACCAAGGCAAUGAUGGGUAGCUGGGUUGAGAGACCGACCAGCCAGAUUGGGACUGAGACACGGCCCAGACUCCUACGGGAGGCAGCAGUGGGGAAUCUUGCACAAUGGGCGAAAGCCUGAUGCAGCGACGCCGCGUGCGGGACGAAGGCCUUCGGGUUGUAAACCGCUUUCAGCAGGGACGAGGCGAUAAGUGACGGUACCUGCAGAAGAAGCCCCGGCUAACUACGUG